CCUCCUCGGCGGCAGGUCUCCUCAGGAAGCAUCGCCUCCCGCCCGUCCCUCCGGGCAGGGCUUGGGCCCGGCGCACGGCGGGCAGUGUGUGGUAUGAGGGGAGGAGGCAGAGGCCUUCCCCUGGGACAGGGGGUUUGUUCUCCCGCAGCCACCACUCGCAGGUUUUGUCUCUGUACAUACUGGCCCCACUCUCCGGCCAGAAGAGGACGGUAUUCGAUGUCCUGUCUUCCAGCCCUGCUUUAAUCUCCUGCUUACUCUUGCAGAGUUCAGAUUGUCCAAAAUUUGAGGACGUUUCAAGUCCUGUUUGAACAGGACCUUUCCAGAACCUGUGAUCUUUCAGCCUCUUUGAGACCAGUUGCCUGAGAAGCCUGUGAGAUGCUUGCAGAAGAGACCUUUGCUGGAUGCACAUUUCUCAGCUCAAGACACCUUUCUUGUAAUACCAACAUUUGCAGAUAAUUGCCUGGGUGCAGAGAAGAGGCACGGUUCUUCUAGGGAACAAGAAGUCCGGUCUGUUGUAGAUGCUGAAAUUUGUGUCUCUCCACUGACUUGAAAAGGAGCUUAUGGCCACUCCCUUGGAAGGUAUGACUCUUAGAUUGAGUGUCUUUAUGAAGCUGAAGGAUCACAGGGUAGCCAGGGCUUAAUUAAGAUGAGACAAGUAAUGCUGAAGAGUUUCAGGAAGCAAGAAGAAUAAUUAAUGAGGGAGACACCUACAUACCUGGCUUUUGAGUUGCCUGG
rnacentral:lncRNA from 1 species